rnacentral:rRNA from 1 species
GACAGAGGAGGCGAGCGUUGAUCGGAUUCACUGGGCUUAAAGCGCGUGUAGGCGGCCCGGCAAGUGUCGUGUGAAAUCCCACGGCUCAACCGUGGAACGGCACGGCAAACUGCCGGGCUUGAGGUCGGUAGGGGUGCCUGGAACUCCAGGUGGAGCGGUGAAAUGCGUAGAUAUCUGGAGGAACGCCGGAGGCGAAAGCGGGGCACUGGGCCGAUGCUGACGCUGAGACGAGAAAGCGUGGGGAGCAAACCGG